rnacentral:rRNA from 1 species
GACGAACGCUGGCGGCGUGCUUAACACAUGCAAGUCGAGCGGAAAGGCCCUUUCGGGGGUACUCGAGCGGCGAACGGGUGAGUAACACGUGAGUAAUCUGCCCCUGGCUUUGGGAUAGCCACCGGAAACGGUGAUUAAUACCGGAUACGACCACUUCUCGCAUGGGAUGGUGGUGGAAAGUUUUUCGGCCAGGGAUGUGCUCGCGGCCUAUCAGCUUGAUGGUGAGGUAAUGGCUCACCAUGGCUUCGACGGGUAGCAGGCCUGAGAGGGUGACCGGUCACACUGGGACUGAGACACGGCCCAGACUCCUACGGGAGGCAGCAGGGGGGAAUAUUGGACAAUGGGCGGAAGCCUGAUCCAGCAACGCCGCGUGAGGGAUGACGGCCUUCGGGUUGUAAACCUCUUUCAGCAGGGACGAAGCGCAAGUGACGGUACCUGCAGAAGAAGCACCGGCCAACUACGUGCCAGCAGCCGCCGCGG